AUUGAACGCUGGCGGCAGGCCUAACACAUGCAAGUCGAACGAGUGGCGGACGGGUGAGUAAUGUCUGGGAAACUGCCUGAUGGCGGGGGAUAACUACUGGAAACGGUAGCUAAUACCGCAUACCAUCGGAUGUGCCCAGAUGGGAUUAGCUGGUAGGUGGGGUAAAGGCUCACCUGGGCGACGAUCCCUAGCCGGUCUGACAGGGUGACCAGCCACACUGGAACUGAGACAGUGUCCAGACUCCUACGGGAGGCAGCAGUGGGGAAUAUUGCACAAGGGGCGCAAGCCGGAUGCAGCCAUGCCGCGUGUAUGAAGAAGGUCUGCGGGUUGUAAAGUACUUUCAGCGGGGAGGCGUUACCCGCAGAAGAAGCACCGGCUAACUCCGUGCCAGCAGCCGCGGUAAUAC
rnacentral:rRNA from 1 species